rfam:Prevotella tannerae ATCC 51259 genomic scaffold Scfld0, whole genome shotgun sequence.
AUAAUAAUUUAGGGGUGCCUACUCGUGCCUUGCGGACGCUUUGCGCCGUGAGCUAUUCGGUUGAAGCAGUGAGCUGACGAACACGAGCUCCGCGGGGAGCGGCUGAGAACAAACCCUUAUAACCUGAUCCGGGUAAUGCCGGCGAAGAGAAAAUUACUGUUAUAUGC